GGAAGGAAGAACCUGUAUACGGCUGGUACUUUUCCUUUUGAGUCAAAGGAGUUCACGGUUUCACUGCCUGAAAAUGAUGGAAGGAAGGCCAAGGAUUUUAGAGUGAUUAUUAAGCUUGCUGGAAACACAAGCAUACACAACCUGAAGGAGUUUUUAGCUGGUCGACAGAUUGAGGCACCUCAAGAAGUCAUUCAAGCCCUUGAUAUUGUUCUUAGGGAGUCUCCAUCUACCAAGUAUACUUCGGUAGCAUGGUCCUUCUUUUCCCCGAGCUUUGGG